CGCGGCGUGUCCCUCCGCCCGACCCGUCCGUCCCGCUGCGCCGGCGCGCUCUGACCCUCGCCCCGACCCGUCCGCCACGCCGGCCGCCCCCGCAGCACGUAAGACCCGCAGGUGGCCAGGUAUCUGAAGACUUAUCGAAUCCCUCUCAGCCUUCCCUACACGAAACGCUCCCGGUUCUUUCAGCUUUUCUUCCUAAAUCCAGAUUCCCAGAUCUCUCAUAAUUUUUGUGGCUGUCCAUAAAAGUCUAAUCUGUCCACAUGUCUCCGUGCGAUGCUCAGACCUGGACGGAGUAUGUCGGACAAGGCUUCACCAGCGCUGUCAAGGGUGCGAGAAUCCCGUCCCUUAAUUUGUAUUUAAAUAAUAUUCAUUCAGUACAUACUUUCUGUCCAAGUUUAAGGACAGUUUAAACACCUGAACUAGGGAAGUCACUGGCCAAGUGCCUGCGUGGUAUUAAUGCAGCCCAGGACGUGGGGCUCCUUGGUUUGGUUUGGUUUGGUCUGCAGCAAGACUCAUUUUCAACUUACGGUUCACUGUAGCCCCGGGGUUCGUCCCUGCAGCCUGACCACGCGUUCCCGUUCCCAGCCUGUGCUUGUACCUGUGAUUGCUCCUUCCUACCUUUAGGACUUCUGCGCUUGUCCUUAUUGAAUUUCAUUCAACUCAUUUUGGACCAGCUUGUCAAGAUCAUUCUGGAUCAGGGGUGGGCAGUUACUUUGGCUGGGCCUACUUAAUGAGGUUUGAUGAGCUGUUGAGGGUUGCGCACAUCACAGUCAAAACAUCUACUGUAAUGUGUUUGAAUAGUUCGAAAUAAAGUCCUACUCUUAUAUGUGGGGGCAGCGCUCGUGCGCUAGGUCCUGGGAGCUGACCGGCCGUGGGGGAGGAAGGGGGAGCGGGAUGCAUGCAGCAGAAUUCAUGCGGGCAGCGCAGGUUCAGGUGUGGCUCAUCCCACCCCACCCCACCCCGUCCACAGCGCUCCACAUGGGGCCAAGCCCACCAGACAGCACCGCCUGAGCCCCGGCCGGCACAGCUGCCCAGCGGGGCUGCUCUUACAGCUGCCCAGGUACCACUCAGCUCCCCUGCCUCCUCCUGCGCCUCUCUGGGCAGCAGUAGUGCGGGGAAGCCGUAAGGACCCGUGCUGGGAGCCGGGUGCCCAGACAGGCCAGGGAGAAGCUGCGGCCAGGCAGCUCCUGCCCCAGUGUGCAGGGCUCCGGCUCCUGGAUGCCUCCCACCCGUUCAGCUGCCCACAGGUGUUCAUUACACUGGGAGGGCAGGAUGGGUGGAAGGCAGCCAAGAGCUGGACCCGGAGCCCUACACGCUGGGUAUCUGCUGCCUGGCACACGUCCCCACGGCUUCCCCAUGCUGCCUGCUGCCCCGAGUGGCACAGGGGGCAGGAGGAGGAAGAGCCACUGGAGGCAGGGGUAACUAGCAGUACCUGGGCAAGUGUGACAGCAGCCCCGCUGGGAAGCUGUGUGCCCUGGCUGGGGCGGGGUGGUGCUGUCUGGUGGGCCUGGUGCAGGAGCAGAGCAGACUCGGCCCCAUGCAGCGUGCUGCAGGGGCGGCUGCAGGCUGACAGUCAGUUGCUGGGCGUCUGCUCGUGGCCAGGUCCAGUCAGUUGGCAGGCUGCAUCCAGCUUGCAGGCCAUGUCUUGCUCACCCGUUCUGGAUCCUAGCCUCACCCUCCAGUGUCUGCACCUCCGUCCAACUUGGCAUCAUCUGCAAAUUUGCUAAAUGUGCACUCAGUCCCAUCCUCCAAAAGUUCAGGAAGCUAUUCAACAGCGCUGGACCCAGGGCAGAUCCCGGGGAACCCAUUCGAUGCCUCCUUCCAACUACACAUUGAGCUACUGGUGACUACACUUGCAGCAUGAUAAUCCAACUAGUUAUGUAUCUACCUUACAGCACUUUCAUCUAAUCUGCAUUUCCUUAGCUCACUGAGGACCGUGUAAGAGAAGGCAUCAAAAGCUCACUCCAAUACAAUCCAGCUGAUGUUUACAAGUAGGAACAAAAAGUGCUUGGUAGCUGCAGGUGGUGAUCAAAUUACACCCUGCAGCCCGGGCAUGGACUCUGCCCUCCUGUGAGUGACAGUGCAGAUAGUCCGGACACUUGCAUGGAAACAUCAAAUUCUUUCUUAAGAUCCAUUCAGUGCAAUUUGCAUCACUUGUACUUCGCCACAGCAAGAUUCAAAGCUUAAUUAAACAUUGCAAAGAUUCUCCCUUGAUACUUACUCUCCCUACAUUUUACUUACAUGCUUUAUGUUAUGGGAACAGUUCAGUACUUCGUAUAAUCUGUAGCUAUAUUGAGCGGUUGCUAUGGCCAGUACCCAUGGUUUGUGCUUGGGUGGUUCAAUUUAAAAUCAAAAGGCUCGAAUUGGAAGUUUAGUCAGUAAGCAAGAAGUUUUGGUUUAAAUAAUUCAUUGGCUAUGGUUCUGAAUGUGUACGCUAGUUGUUUUCCUAAGGGAAGUUUCACAUUUGCUGAUAAUCAUUAAGACGUGUAGGUAUUCAGCUAAAAAUAGACUAGGAAGGAUGUUCCAAAUUAGUGUAAAUCAGGAUAUACUCAAUGUGCUUUGAAGCAGUUAUAUAGCUUUAAAACAUUUUUUGGAUUCUCAAUGUUUAUAUUUUAUGUCAGGAAAACGGUAUAUGACAUUUCCUAUUUAGUUUUUACUUGCCAUGUGUAGAGAUUUGGAUUCAAUUAAAUGCAGAAAACUAGCAUUUCAUUUUUUUUUAUUAGUUAAAACUACAUUAAAUAUGCUGGAUACAGAAGAAAAAGAGUUUAUCAAAACAUGUUUUGCAUUUAAAAGUACCUGAUUUAUUCAACCAAGGAAGUAUUGGAUAGUAUAGAUAGUGAACUGAACGGACUGUUCUGGUGAUUACGUCCUAGGUUUUAGAACUAGUUGGUCUGUUUAUUCAUAGAUUGAAAGAAGAAAAGUCUUACCUGCUUUUUAACUUCCAAUUCUUGACCUGAAUAAUCUAAUAAUUGAAUUGGACUAAACUGAGUAAACUGAAAUGAAGAAACAUUUUCUCUUUGCCUCCGGAAGAGUUGUCGAAAGAGUGGUUUUUAUCAUUUCGAUAAACUUUUGUUUCUAGGUGCUUAGCCAGUGCCUUCCCCAGAUCAGUGGUUUAAACUGGCCAUAAAACUUGGGCAGCAAAUAUGUACUGAACGAAUAUUUAUUAUUUAAAGUUAUUUGAUUUGAUUACAGUAAAUCUCAUUUGUGAUAUUGUUUGUUGCUUUUAAAAUGGGUCUAAAGAAAAAUGUAAUUAAACUGAGCUAAAAACCCCA